CAUGUAGGUGGAUACUUAAGUCUGUUGUGAAAAUGCGGGGCUCAACCCCGUAUUGCGAUGGAAACUGGGUGUCUUGAGUGCAGGAGAGGAAAGGGGAAUUCCCAGUGUAGCGGUGAAAUGCGUAGAUAUUGGGAGGAACACCAGUGGCGAAGGCGCCUUUCUGGACUGUGUCUGACACUGAGAUGCGAAAGCUAGGGGAGCGAACGG
rnacentral:rRNA from 1 species